UUGGAGGGCAAGUCUGGUGCCAGCAGCCGCGGUAAUUCCAGCUCCAAUAGCGUAUAUUAAAGUUGUUGCAGUUAAAAAGCUCGUAGUUGAAUUUCGGGAUCAAUGUUUCGGUCAUGCCGUUGGUAUGUACUGAUAUUAUUGAUUUCUCACCUUCUAAAGAACCGUAAUGCCAUUAAUUUGGUGUCACGGGGAAUUAGGACUGUUACCUUGAAAAAAUUAGAGUGUUUAAAGCAGGCUCACGCUUGAAUACAUUAGCAUGGAAUAAUGAAAUAGGACAUCCGAUUCUAUUUUGUUGGUUUCUAGGAUCGAUGUAAUGAUUAAUAGGGAUAGUUGGGGGCAUUAGUAUUCAAUUGUCAGAGGUGAAAUUCUUGGAUUUAUUGAAGACUAACUACUGCGAAAGCAUUUGCCCAGGAUGUUUUCAUUAAUCAAGAACGAAAGUUAGGGGAUCGAAGACGAUCAGAUACCGUCGUAGUCUUAACCAUAAACUAUGCCGACUAGGGAUCGGAUGAUGUUAAUUUUUUAAUGACUCAUUCGGCGCCUUACGGGAAAC
rnacentral:rRNA from 1 species